UACAGAGGUCCCAAGCGUUGUUCGGAUUCACUGGGCGUAAAGGGUGCGUAGGCGGUCGGGUAAGUCUGAUGUGAAAUCUCGCAGCUUAACUGCGAAACUGCAUUGGAUACUAUCCGGCUCGAGGAAUGGAGGGGAGACUGGAAUACUUGGUGUAGCAGUGAAAUGCGUAGAUAUCGGGAGGAACACCAGUGGCGAAGGCGACUACCUGGCCUGUUCUUGACGCUGAGGCGCGAAAGCUAGGGGAGCAAACGGG
rnacentral:rRNA from 1 species